rnacentral:lncRNA from 1 species
AAAGCAGAAGUGGACGGAGCAUCAUUUCUUCUAAAGGUAUGGGAUGGCACCAGGACACCAUUUCCAUCUUGGAGAGUCUUAAUACAAGACCUUGUUCUUGAAGGUGAUUUAAGUCACAUCCAUCGGCUACAAAAUCUGACAAUAGACAUUUUAGUCUACGAUAACCAUGUUCAUGUGGCAAGAUCUCUGAAGGUGAUGUAUAGUAGGAAAAAAUGUUAUUUUAUGUUUUUAUAAAUUAUAGUGAUUUUUGCUCAUGUAAAUUUUUUAUAUAUGGUUACAUGUAUAGGUGAUACAGUCUAGAAAUUAUAUUUAUUUCUUUGAUUUUUAAGUUGUAAAAUGUAUGUUACAAUAAAUUAUUAAAAGAUAAA